rnacentral:rRNA from 1 species
GAUGAACGCUGGCGGCGUGCUUAACACAUGCAAGUCGAACGGUGAAGCAGAGCUUGCUCUGUGGAUCAGUGGCGAACGGGUGAGUAACACGUGAGCAACCUGCCCCUGACUCUGGGAUAAGCGCUGGAAACGGCGUCUAAUACCGGAUAUGAGCUGCGAUCGCAUGGUCAGCAGUUGGAAAGAUUUUUCGGUCUGGGAUGGGCUCACGGCCUAUCAGCUUGUUGGUGAGGUAAUGGCUCACCAAGGCGUCGACGGGUAGCCGGCCUGAGAGGGUGACCGGCCACACUGGGACUGAGACACGGCCCAGACUCCUACGGGAGGCAGCAGUGGGGAAUAUUGCACAAUGGGCGAAAGCCUGAUGCAGCAACGCCGCGUGAGGGAUGACGGCCUUCGGGUUGUAAACCUCUUUUAGCAGGGAAGAAGCGAAAGUGACGGUACCUGCAGAAAAAGCGCCGGCUAACCACGUGCCAGCAGCCGCCGCCGUAA